UUCGGUGGCAAUGGCCAAGAGGCCACACCCGUCUCCAUUUCGAACACGGAAGUUAAGUUCUUGAGCGCUGAUGAUACUGCAGGGGCAGCCCUGUGGGAGAGUAAGACGCCGCCGAAU
rfam:Desulfobacterium autotrophicum HRM2, complete genome.